rnacentral:rRNA from 1 species
AGUGAACGCUGGCGGUAGGCCUAACACAUGCAAGUCGAACGAGUGGCGGACGGGUGAGGAAUGCAUCGGAAUCUACUCUUUCGUGGGGGAUAACGUAGGGAAACUUACGCUAAUACCGCAUACGAAUGAAUGAGCCGAUGCCCGAUUAGCUAGUUGGCGGGGUAAGAGCCCACCAAGGCGACGAUCGGUAGCUGGUCUGAGAGGAUGAUCAGCCACACUGGAACUGAGACACGGUCCAGACUCCUACGGGAGGCAGCAGUGGGGAAUAUUGGACAAUGGGCGCAAGCCUGAUCCAGCCAUACCGCGUGGGUGAAGAAGGCCUUCGGGUUGUAAAGCCCUUUUGUUGGGAAAGCGGUACCCAAAGAAUAAGCACCGGCUAACUUCGUGCCAGCAGCCGCGGUAAUACGAAGGGUGCAAGCGUUACUCGGAAUUACUGGGCGUAAAGCGUGCGUAGGUGGUUGUUUAAGUCUGUCGUGAAAGCCCUGGGCUCAACCUGGGAGUUGCGAUGGAAACUGGGCGACUAGAGUGUGGCAGAGGAUAGUGGAUUUCCUGGUGUAGCAGUGAAAUGCGUAGAGAUC